rnacentral:rRNA from 1 species
UACGAAGGGGGCUAGCGUUGCUCGGAAUCACUGGGCGUAAAGCGCACGUAGGCGGCUUCUUAAGUCAGGGGUGAAAUCCUGGAGCUCAACUCCAGAACUGCCUUUGAUACUGAGGAGCUCGAGUCCGGGAGAGGUGAGUGGAACUCCGAGUGUAGAGGUGAAAUUCGUAGAUAUUCGGAAGAACACCAGUGGCGAAGGCGGGACUCUGGGCCGAUACUGACGCUGAGGAGCGAAAGCGUGGGGAGCGAACAGG